UACGGGGGGUGCGAGCGUUGUCCGGAAUCACUGGGCGUAAAGGGCGCGUAGGUGGCUUUGUAAGUUUGCGGUGAAAGCCCGGGGCUCAACCCCGGGUCUGCCGUGGAUACUGCAAGGCUUGAGUACUGUAGAGGCAGGUAGAAUAUCGGGUGUAGCGGUGGAAUGCGUAGAGAUUCGGAAGAACACCCAUGGCGAAGGCAGCACUCUGGGCUUGAACCGCAAGGUGAACCUGACACUGAGGUACGAAAGCCAGGGGAGCGAACGGG
rnacentral:rRNA from 1 species